UCUUGACUAGUAUAUCGGUUCAGUACACCCGCUUGUCAUGGUGCAAAUCUUCGAUCGCGGGAGAGCAGGGUUCGACUCCCUGGUCGAGAG